UGGGCGUCUGGUGCCGUGCGUGAACCACCACACCACAGGCCUGCCCGCCUCUCAGUCUUCUACCAGGCCAAGACGUUUUGUGCCCUAGUUUACGUGGUGGUAUCCUGGAGAACGUUCCAGGUGCUGUUGAGAACAGUUUAUAUUCUGCAGGCGGCGGCUUUCCCCGUUAAGCCACAGCGCCGGCCCCGAUAAAUGUUCUGACAGUGUUAAGUCCCGCUCAUCAAGGGUGCAGGUUAAUUCUGUCGCCUUAAGGAUUUUCUGUGCACUGGUGAAAGUGUAACUGUGUUGGAUACAUCCUCUUCCCCUGGUGGUGCUCUGGUGGACAAGCUAUCUGCUGAGCUCGUGAAAUAAAGCUCGCCUGUGAAUCCCGGACAGCGGCCUUGGAAGGCAGCGGAAGUUGCUGCUGUCACAGGGUGCAGAGGGGCACAGUACGCGCGGGCCCCGGGCUGAGCAGGCCGCACCGUGGUUCACGGAACGCUCCCAGUCUCAGCACAAUGCGUGGCCUCCUUCAGGUCCCAGCCACGUGCGUUGUAGCUGCCUCGUUGUGCAGAACAUCCUGUUGGGCCCAGCGCGUGCUGAACUCAUCGGGCUCUGGCACCCACGUGCGUCCAGUCCUGAGUUGCUGGUAGCCACGUCCUCUGCGGCACAGCCUCCCUUUUGUACUCCUCAGACGCCCCGGACCACCCUGACCGAGCACCACCACCCAGGUCAGCCUCCGUCCUCGGUUCAGCACUAUUGACAAGGACCAGACUUUGCUAACAGGCCACCUGCUACCAACUGAACAGGACUCUCCGUCUGCCUUUAUUUCUGGGUGCUGUGCUACUGGGUUUCUGUGAUGCUCGUCUCUGCGGGCUGGACUGACCGCUGUCUGGCUCUGCGGUGACCUGUCCUGUCUCUGAGAGCUUGCUCUCCCUCUGCAGCACUGCACACCCCUGCUGCCGGACUCGUGUGUGACAUCGAAGGACAGCCACUCCCUCAGAGAAGAGCCCAGGACCAGGCUCUCGGACGACUCGGCAAAGCCAUCAGCCACCUGGUGACCUGGUGGGUACACGAAGCUCUCGGCUUCCCCACGAGGAAUCCAAGGGGCUCCUGGUGAGGGACGCUUCUCGGACAAAGAGCCUGGAUCCUUCAUAAGUUGCCAACCCUUCGCCUGCUCCACCAAGGCCUCGGGCUUCCAGUCUGUGCAUACGGGCAAGCGCUGCCCUCCAGGCCCUGACUGUACUUCCUGGGCACUCAGCUCGGAUCUGGGACCCGGCCUUCACUCCCACCAACGCUCGGUACACACAGCGAAGCGGCUCACGUUCCAGGUUGCUGUCAAUCCCGUCAUGGAUGACAGGGUUAUCCUCUGCCAGCACCUCCACGAACCUGGUUGCCGUGAGUUCCUUGUUUAUCAUCUUGAAGUCCUGUGGGAGAGUUGAGAUCACUGUCUCUACUUAGAUAGCUGCACACUUCAUGUUCGCACCUGUCCACAGGAGACUUGAAGAAAAUGUGCCAGAAAAAGCAUCUUAAAAACUGAUAGUUCUGCAAAGCAUUCUGGGCCGGCACUCUCUCCCUUCCUAAGCAGCAGCCAGGUUCCCUGGUAUUUGUUUUUUGGCAUCAACAGAGAAGUGGGGGAGCAGGUGACCCAGGUGUGCAAUGCCCUCCCGGUGCCAGAGGCGAGGACGGCUGUGUUCAGGUUUCCAGAGGAAGGCGCAUGGGAGACGUCCCGGCCAGGGGCCACGCUGACUGCGUGAAGCCACACAGCGUAUAAGUGCCCAGAACCACCCGCGGCCCUGGCACAGCACAAAACACCUGGAUCUUGCAUGGCCGAGGCUCUCUCACUGCCUCUACACCAGAGGAACCCUGGCGCGGAGCCGCAGUCUGAGCCAGGGUGGCUGGCCGUACUCCGAGGGAUGGAAGGGGGAGAGUGAACGACAGAGACAGCGGGGUAAGACCCCAGCCCCAAUUCACGUGCUAAAAAACCGCGUUUGCUGUCAGUUUUCGGCGUUAAUCUUCCAUCCUUUCGGUUUUACCACUUCCAAUGCCAUAAGUGCAAGUUACAGGUGUCACGGAACAAAACUGCCCAUGAUCACUAGACCUCGUGUCAAUAAGGCGUGGCUGUUUUUCAAACCAGGGUAACCUUUAAGUCACUUUUUUGAUGAGCAGUCGUUUCUAGAAAUGACUUUCAUUCACCCUCCCGUCUUCCUCCUGCUGGCCAAGUCUGCACGGGGGAUGGCGGCGGGGGCCAGCGCCUCUCCCCUGCCGGGAGACCCGGGACACGCAGAGCGGCCGUGAGACUUCCCCCGGUCCUUCUCCUCGUGGUGUGUGUGACAGCGAGAACGUUUCCUUUCCUAACUCAGCCCCGGAGCCCCACCUUGAG